GGGGAAUUUUGGACAAUGGGCGCAAGCCUGAUCCAGCCAUGCCGCGUGUCUGAAGAAGGCCUUCGGGUUGUAAAGGACUUUUGUCAGGGAAGAAAAGGCUGUUGCCAAUAUCGACAGCUGAUGACGGUACCUGAAGAAUAAGCACCGGCUAACUACGUGCCAGCAGCCGCGGUAAUACGUAGGGUGCGAGCGUUAAUCGGAAUUACUGGGCGUAAAGCGAGCGCAGACGGUUACUUAAGCAGGAUGUGAAAUCCCCGGGCUCAACCUGGGAACUGCGUUCUGAACUGGGUAACUAGAGUGUGUCAGAGGGAGGUAGAAUUCCACGUGUAGCAGUGAAAUGCGUAGAGAUGUGGAGAAAUACCGAUGGCGAAGGCAGCCUCCUGGGAUAACACUGACGUUCAUGCUCGAAAGCGUGGGUAGCAAACAGGAUUAGAUACCCUGGUAGUCCACGCCCUAAACGAUGUCAAUUAGCUGUUGGGCAACUUGAUUGCUUAGUAGCGUAGCUAACGCGUGAAAUUGACCGCCUGGGGAGUACGGUCGCAAGAUUA
rnacentral:rRNA from 1 species